AUACAGAGGGUGCAAGCGUUAAUCGGAAUUACUGGGCGUAAAGCGCACGUAGGUGGUUCAUUAAGUCAGAUGUGAAAGCCCCGGGCUCAACCUGGGAACUGCAUUUGAAACUGGUGAGCUAGAGUAUGGUAGAGGUAAGUGGAAUUCCAGGUGUAGCGGUGAAAUGCGUAGAUAUCUGGAGGAACAUCAGUGGCGAAGGCGACUUACUGGACCAAUACUGACACUGAGGUGCGAAAGCGUGGGGAGCAAACAGGAUUAGAUACCCCAGUAGUCC
rnacentral:rRNA from 1 species